AAUUUAAAUAUUCAUAGGAAAGAAAGAUUUCAAACUAUUCAAAGUCACCAAACACAAUUUUAUUUAGAUAAGUAGGGGUUUACUACCAAAACAAGGGCAAAUCCCUGUUCUCAUAAACAAAAAUGAAAGCCGACAUGAAAACUCUCUCCCCCCUUUCUCCCUUCUCCCUUCUCCCUUCUCCCUUCUCUUUUACCAGCAACUAUGGUCUUUCGUAUACAUUCAUUUGCUCCGAUUAAAACCCUAGCUUUCUCUUUGCCGCAGUCCCCUUUUUCUGUGUGUGGCGCCUUUCUAUCAGAGUUUCAAAUCCAUGUUAUUUUUCGACCUUUGAGGUUGGCUUAGGGUGGAGUGGCGGAUCUGUUGUAGUGUUCUCUGACGACGACAACGGUUUGGAUGUACGAGGGAUCGAAGGCGUUCGAUGGGGCAGGGGAGAGGCCCUGAGCCUAGAGCAUUGGUGCUCGCAGAUAAUCAACCAGAUGGAAAAACUGAUUGGAGAAGUUGAGAAGAUUUGCUGGCCUCAAGGAUACCCAUUUUUUCACGGUACACUGCUGGACUUGUAUGUGCAGAGAUUUGUAUUCGAACUAUUUAUCCGGAAGUCUUCCCCCAUGGCAGUCAGUGGUGAAUAACUUCCUCACAUUCGACACUUCAAACAUAAAAAGCCAGACAAGUUGGUUUUCAUUGCCACCUAUGAUAUUCUUUAGAGAUUUCAAAACCUCGGCGUAAUACUCUGAAAAUUGAUGACAAUAUGGCCUUUCUUGAUUACAGAAACAAUACAAGGUUCAAAAGGAUGAUCUACUUAAUUUUUCAUGUCAGAUCAGGAGAACACCAAUUGAGGAACUUUGCCUUCAGUCUAUGAUAGGUCACUGCUCAGGUGCUUUUGGGGGGUUUGGAAGCUAAUGCUAGAGUGUAAUCCAUACAAACAGGCUGGCUUCAUCAUUCCCUAAACCAAUUUUCUUGGAGAAUAUCACUUGCAGUCAUGACUAUGAUCUAUGAAUUGCAGAUGUGAUCUGUGUUUAUGUGGCUUGUUUAUGUAGUCAUCCAUGGAGAAGUGGAAGUUGCAGAUAUCAUGCCUAGAAUUAAGGCUGCUAAUUUUUUUUUCUUUCACAAAAGUGAUUUGAUAACAAUUAUUCAGUUUGUAUAUUAAUUUUAAUUUUUUUUUAAAAUUUGAAAUAUUGCAGUCACCAUUGUUAGAUAGUGUGUUUUAUGAUGAUGGGGCCCACAGUUUGAAAGCCACCAAAAAAAUGAUAGUUCCUUUUUGAGUGUUUGUCACGCCAGCAAAGGCUACCUUCCUUAAUUAGUGUCUAUGGUGGUGGCUGUUGCUAUUCCACACCAAUCAUCAGUGUCUAUAGCUUCAAUCCACACCAUUCACAAUGGUGUGGUUUGGUCAGUUUUGUGGUAGUGUGUAUAU